rnacentral:rRNA from 1 species
GGCAGAGGUCCCGAGCGUUAGGCGGAAUCACUGGGCUUAAAGCGUGUGUAGGCGGACUUGUAAGUACCUUGUGAAAUCCCACGGCUUAACCGUGGAACUGCUCGGUAUACUGCGAGUCUUGAGCCACUUAGGGGCUACCGGAACAAAUGGUGGAGCGGUGAAAUGCGUAGAUAUCAUUUGGAACGCCAAUGGUGAAAACAGGUAGCUGGGAGUGUGCUGACGCUGAGACGCGAAAGCGUGGGGAGCGAACAGG